rnacentral:rRNA from 1 species
UGGGUGCCAAAACCUAAAGGCGAAAUGAAAGUGAAGGAAAMUUYGUUUUCGAGGGAGGAUGGGUUGGGUUCCUCUACUGGGCCCGCCUCGCACUCCCGGGGCGUCUCUAUCUCAUCGCGAGAGGAGGCGCACCUAGAGCGUACACGCUGAUACCCGAAAGAUGGUGAACUAUGCCUGGCCAGGACGAAGCCAGGGGAAACCCUGGUGGAGGUCCGCAGCGAUUCUGACGUGCAAAUCGAUCGUCGGAGCUGGGUUUAGGGGCGAAAGACCAAUCGAACCAUCUAGUAGCUGGUUCCCUCUGAAGUUUCCCUCWGGAUAGCUUGCGCUCGGACGGAACGAGUCUCAUCCGGUAGAGCGAAUGAUUAGAGGCCUUGGGGUCGAAACGACCUCAACCUAUUCUCAAACUCCAAAUAGAUGAGAACCCCCGGCUUUCUUGAACCAUGUUUAUGAAGCCGGGGGCUUGGAUCAGAGU